AGACAACUGGAUCAGAGCAUCUUUGAAACGGAAAGUCUUGUGGCGUGUUCCUGAUAUGCAGUAGUUAGUACUUACUGCCAAAUUCUCUGAAAUGCCUUUGGAGACGGCUUAUGGUAGAGAAAUGAACAUUCAAUUCACGGGCAACAGCUCGCGGGGACAUUCCUGCAGUCAGCAUGCCAACUGCACGCUAAAACUUGUGACAUCUGUGGCAUUGUGCUGUUGUGCUGAUAAAACUGCACAUUUUAGAGUGGCCUUUUAUUGUGGCCAGCCUAAGGCACACCUGUGCAAUACUCAUGCUGUGUUUCUUGAAACAUAAAUCUGUCCAGUUAUAGGAUGACUUGUCACACUUUUACUUGUUGCCAAAUUUCACAAGUCCAAUUUUUUUGCUAUGUAGUUUAGUCUAACACUCAGGAUACAUUAGAAAGUGAGGUUAAAAUUCUUUAAUUCAGUUACAAGACAGAGACCCUAGGCAAAUUUCUU